CGUACCCACGUUCGGAUUGCAGUCUGCAACUCGAGUGCAUGAAGCUGGAAUCGCUAGUAAUCGCGGAUCAGAAUGCCGCGGUGAAUACGUUCCCGGGCCUUGUACACACCGCCCGUCACACCAUGGGAGCCGGUAAUACCCGAAGUCAGUAGUCCAACCACGUGAGGACGCUGCCGAAGGUAGGAUUGGCGACUGGGGUGAAGUCGUAACAAGGUAUC
rnacentral:rRNA from 1 species